rnacentral:ncRNA from 1 species
AAAGGUGAAAAGAACCCCCAUCGGGGAGUGAAAUAGAACAUGAAACCAUAAGCUCCCAAGCAGUGGGAGGAAAAUGAUAUCUCUGACCACGUGCCUAUUGAAGAAUGAGCUGGUGACUUAUAGGCAGUGUCUUGGUUAAGGGAACCCACCGGAGCCGUAGCGAGAGUGAGUCUUUAUGGGGCAAUUGUCACUGCUUAUGGACCCAAACCUAGGUGAUCUAUCCAUGACCAGGAUGAAGCUUGAGUGAAACUAAGUGGAGGUCCGAACCGACUGAUGUUGAAAAAUCAGCGGAUGAGUCAUGGUUAGGGGUGAAAUGCCAGUCGAACCUAGAUCUAGCUGGUUCUCCCCGAAAUGCAUUGAGGCGCAACAGUUGACUGGACCAUCUAGGGGUAAAGCACUGUUUCAGUACGGGCCGCAAGAACGGUACCAAAUCGAGGCAAACUCUGAAUACUAGAUUGCCCCAAUAAAAGGGGUAAGGGUCAGCCAGUGAGACGAUGGGGGAUAAGCUUCAUCGUCGAGAGGCAAACAGCCUAGAUCAUCAGCUAAGGCCCCUAAAUGAUCGCUUAGUGAUGAAGGAAGUAUGAGUGCAAAGACAACCAGGAGGUUUGCCUAGAAGCAACCAACCCUGAAAGAGU